AAUGCAGUCGAGCGAAUGGAUUAAGAGCUUGCUCUUAUGAAGUUAGCGGCGGACGGGUGAGUAACACGUGGGUAACCUGCCCAUAAGACUGGGAUAACUCCGGGAAACCGGGGCUAAUACCGGAUAACAUUUUGAACUGCAUGGUUCGAAAUUGAAAGGCGGCUUCGGCUGUCACUUAUGGAUGGACCCGCGUCGCAUUAGCUAGUUGGUGAGGUAACGGCUCACCAAGGCAACGAUGCGUAGCCGACCUGAGAGGGUGAUCGGCCACACUGGGACUGAGACACGGCCCAGACUCCUACGGGAGGCAGCAGUAGGGAAUCUUCCGCAAUGGACGAAAGUCUGACGGAGCAACGCCGCGUGAGUGAUGAAGGCUUUCGGGUCGUAAAACUCUGUUGUUAGGGAAGAACAAGUGCUAGUUGAAUAAGCUGGCACCUUGACGGUACCUAACCAGAAAGCCACGGCUAACUACGUGCCAGCAGCCGCGGUAAUACGUAGGUGGCAAGCGUUAUCCGGAAUUAUUGGGCGUAAAGCGCGCGCAGGUGGUUUCUUAAGUCUGAUGUGAAAGCCCACGGCUCAACCGUGGAGGGUCAUUGGAAACUGGGAGACUUGAGUGCAGAAGAGGA
rnacentral:rRNA from 1 species